UUGAUAAGUGUGUAUUUUGCAUGUUUUGAGCAUCCAUUUGUCAUCACUUUAGCAUCAUAUCAUCACUGUUUUAUACCAUUUCUCAUCAUUUGUCAUCACUUUCCAUGUUUAGGAUAGGUUUGCAUGCAUUCUACAUAUUUGUGUUGAUUUCAGGUGAUUUGGAGCUGUUAACGAGCUAACUGGAAGAAGCGGACCUAAUCAUGACAAACCACUUGACCCAGAGGUCGAGUAAGAGCUUCAAGAUCUCAAGAGACCAGUCGACCCCCAGGCCGAGUAGAAGACACCACCACUCGAUCACAUCACUCCACCCCCAGGUCGAGUGACUUCAUCUCCAUCUUCUGACCACCACUCGAUCACAUCACUCGACCCCCAGGUCGAGUGACUUCAUCUCCAUCUUCUGACCACCACUCGAUCACGUCACUCGACCACGCGGUCGAGUGUCUUCAUCCCAUUGCCAGACCACUACUUGACCUCAUCACUCUACCCGGAAGUCGAGUAUCACCAUCACACCACUCGACUGCAUACUCGAUGACAAGCUUCAAAGCCUUCUUCAUUCUGCACUCAACCAGACACUCAAGCACAAAGAAGAAGAGAAGACUCCAGCUAUUCACUCGACCUCUCACUCGACCACAUGGGUCGAGUACAGUUCUUAAUCCGUCCCAAUACUUCGUCGUUUUAAGUAUUAGGGUUUCGGAAUAUUUGGCUAUAAGUAGCAUGUACUUCACAUUUUUGCAGACAAGAAGUUUUUACCUAGUUUUAUUCCGCAGACCUUGUGUUCUAGACUUUUUGUAAUCCGGAUUUCUCUUUAUCUAUUCAGUAUUCAGUAUUCAGCUUUUGUUCUUGAUUUUCGUUUACUGUUGUUCAUUCUGUUAUCAUCCUGCUGUUACACUGCUGUUAUCAUGUCUUCAACCUGUUCAACGUUUAUGCUUUCUGUUAUGUUGUCUGAGUAGUGAAUAGGUUUCUGAGGAUGGGUUAGAGUAGUGUAGAAUUCUCAGUAUGCUAGGUGAUUGAAUAUUGGUUGAUAGAUCCCUUCUGGAUUAGUUGUUCUUAAUGCCUAUUGCUUUCUGAUCAACUGGAUUUUGAGCCCAGACAUUUCCGCGCCCAAAAGGUAUUCGAUGAAAUGUCUGAACCACUAAUUCCAGAGAUUCGUGACCCUGUACCAAGGUAUUGGUUGCAGGGAGCGUUUUGGCUUUAACUUGUUGAUUCGUAAUGCCUGUUAGGUUAGCUCUCGUGAAUGGUGAUUGAGUCUGGGACUAGGUUAACUUGAGAGUCUCUGUUGCGGUGGCACUUAGAUUUGGUUAAUGAACUUGUUGUCUAGGGUUAAUUUAUUGAGCAUGUCAAUCACUUGUAAACUGAUAAAACGAAACCACUCAAUUACCCCAUCCUCGGGAAUUCUUUAUCUGAUUGAUUUUAUUGUUUACUCUACUGCUGUUUACUGCAUCCUGUAAUCUGUUGCUUAGUUUCUACAAUUCUUUACUGUUACUCGACCUGAUACUCGACCACUCAGUUGUCUGGCAACAGACUGUGCAGUCGAGUAUCCCUGUUACAUUAUCUGUCUGUUACUCGACCUGUCACUCGACCACACCCAGUGCUCUGCAACAAGCUGUGUUGGUCGAGUGUUUAUUUGUUUCUGCUUGAUUUUCUGUUUUCUGCAUGUUCACUUAGGACUGCUAGAACGCACCAAAACCGGUUAUUGCUUGGCUUGACUUAGUGACUUCUGAUCACAUCUUGAUUGUUAGCAUCACACCCAUUUGGAUUGACAACCUAAAAUACUACAACGAUAAGAUUGGUGUUUAGGAUAAUUGACUAAAAACCUAUUAUCA
rnacentral:sRNA from 1 species